ACUAGUUUUGGUCGGGGUUACUUGUAGAGGGUUACUGGUUUUGUCAGGUUACUUGUAGGUGUUACUUGUAUUCUAGGGUUAUUUGUAUGGGUGUUAUUGGUUUUGAUCAGGGGUUACUUGUAGGGUAUUACUGGUUUGGUAUGAGAUUUUGGUCUAGAGUUACUUGUAGGAGUUACUCAGAAUACAAGUAACACAUACAGGUAACCCCACGAUACAAGUAACCUCAUAAUAUAAGUAACACCCUACAAGUAACCCAUACAAGUAACUCCUGAAUACAAGUAACCCUAAAAUACAAGUAACCGUGCCGCACCAUAUGGCUUGCCGCGCUGAAAAACCUUUGUUAUUCUAAUUGGUUGAAGCUUGAGUGCUUUGACUAAUUGACUGCUUUCUCACCGACUUCCUCAGCUCCUUCUCUUUCCUCCUCAUCUCAAAGAAAAAAAGCUCAGAAUUCUAAUUCAAGGAUGGCGAUGAGAGAGAAACCUAGAGAGAGAAAAUAUGCCCUCCUUCAACAAUGAUGGCGAUGAGAUCAAAACCACCGAUCAUCCUUGAAAAGCCAUGGCGAUGGGCUUUGCUUCUUCUCAGUGUUUUAAUUUCAUCGGUUUUAGUGACGCGGUUGCUAAGGUUCAUUUAUCUUUCUUGUUCUAAUUGGUUCGAUACUUUGAUGUUCAUCUCCUCGAUUAGAUUUUACCUUUUAUAUGAAGGUUGUUCUAUUUAUUUCUGGCUUUUCAUAUAGUUUCUUUUAUUGAAUUUGAUUUCAAAUGGUUUCCUAAAGCAAAGAUGUUCGGAGGAAUGUUCUAUAAGAAACCAAGCAAGGAAGAAGCUCUGCAGCAGCUUCGAUCCCACAGAUUGAUGUUCGGAGCAUGGGUUGUUGCUAUUCGGGUUACUCCUUAUGUUCUUCAGUAUUUUUCCAGAAAGAGGAGAUUACUUUGGAUCUUUGAUUCAACCCCACCAAAAUUAAGGAAGAAGAUGGACCAAGGUUAGGUGGAUUCGAGUUUGAGGUUAAGAUACUCAGGAGGAAAAGAGGAGAAGAUCGAGAGGAAGAUAAUCUUAGAGAAGUUCUCAAGCACUCUGCUUAAAUGCUUUUGGAGCUCCAAACCUCAUAAUAAGUAUCUCGAACUCUAUGAGUGACUUCUUGCUUUUAUGGAUUUUUGUAGUUUUUUUUUUUUUUUUUUUUUUUUUUGGGUUGUGCUUAUAUGAAUGUUUACUGUUUUUUUAUAAGUAUAUAUUCUCUUUUCCUUAUUAUGUCAAAUUUGGUGAUUAAUUCAAAUGGGUUUGGUGAAUUAGUGAGUGAAUUGAAUGAAUUAGAAUGUUGAUUAUUGUCUUGUUGAGUUGUAUCAGUUCCUAAAUUUGUGGGUUGUUUAGCUCUAAGACACUGAAGUAUGUUAUAAGUUUUUCCUUUUUUCAUUAAAUUCGUUUUUUGCAUUCCCCACUUUUCUAGUAUUAUAGAUUUUGAAUUUAAUAUGAAAAACUCUAAAAGUUUGCACAUUUUCUAAAAAUGUAGCAAGUCCAAACUUGUUCAACUAUGUCGAUUUAUUUCCAUCACAUUUCUGUCAAACUUCCAGGAUUCAACAACAAAAAGGUCUAGAUAAUUUCUUAAUUGUAAGAUUUUUAUAAGAGUAAGCUAAUAAUUAAGUUGCUCAGUUUGGAAAAUGAUAUUUGUAUGGUGUCUGGAUUACCCUGAAUCAUUUUAUUUCAAUACAUGUUUUAAUCAGUUUUGCAGACUGUUUGGGUCUAGGAGGGAAUUGACAGUAGUCUUCAUGUCGUCAGUUGCUAUUGAUGCGGUGAAGGACGUACUUGCAGCGAAUUAUAUACCUGCAGCUCCUAUACUUAUCCUCGAAGGACCUUGGCAGCAGGUUACUGAUUUCCGAAUUAUAUUUGUGUUUUCUUAUCUAUCCUGAACAAUGUUAUCUAACAUGAAUGCAGUUUACUAUUUAUAUUAUUUGUUCAAAAGUGUCACAAUUUUAUAAGUUCUUAAGUGUUUCAUUGUACCAAUUUGCAUGUUUAUGAUCGUAGUUUUUGAGGGGGUUGGGGGAGUAGGGUUAGCAAAUUAGGUCAUGCUGAUCCUGAAUAUUGAGUUAAAAGGAUAGCAAGACAGAAUCUGACGUCUAUUUCCAUGUCUGAAAUGAAGAAAGAAAAGCUUGAAAUCUGUGUUUAGUUUUUUUUGUAGAUUUCUGGGGAGUUACAGCUGCGAAGGGAUUCAAGACUGUCGGUAUUUAUGGUGGUUUGAGGGCCCAAGGAGAGAUUCCUGACCUAACUUACAAAUUUUUGAACAUUUAGGCUAUAAUAUGAAUGCUAUAAUAAUUAACUCGGUUUCUUCCUUCAUUGUUUCAUCAUGAAGAUUGGUUGGGUGCUAUUGUUUCUUCUUUUAAGGUUUUGUUCAUUUCCUUUUUUUUUCGUUAUAUUUCUUGUACCUUGAUUAUGAACGAUGCUUUAAUUUCUAUCUAUGUAGAAAUGGAGGGUAACAAAUUAUUUCAGAAUUUUGGGGUGGUUUCGAUUUAAUUUGGUAAAAAAAAUUGGGAUUAUAUUCCCAUGCAUCAUAAAGCUAGGGUUUUAUUUAUUUAUAUAUUUGAUUUAGAUCAUUCAGUAUCUUAUUGAUUAUUUUCUAUAUGAAGUCUGCUGGAAUAUCAGCUCCAACUAUUGGAAGAGUCGAGAACACUCAUUAUUACCAUCCUGGAAUUGUUGCUCCUCAGUAAAUUUUCAGUUUUUUUUAUAAGCCCCAAAUUACUAUAAUAAUUUUGCCAUGUUUUUAAUAAAUACGGGAAGAUAUAAAGCUUGCAAAAUUAAACAAAUUUUUCUUAUGAUUAUAAGAAAAAGAGGGUUCUUAAUUCAUCUGGAACAGAGUAACAAACCUUCUUUUGAUCUUAUAAUUUAAGUUUAUAUUGUAGAUAUUUAACCUCAUGUCAAAAUCACAUUUUGACUAUUUUUUUUUAAAAAAAUAAAUGAUUUCUUCUUUGUCCAUGAAGAGAGUACAGGGGAAAUGGGGAGAUUGAAUGGGAUCUGAAGUGAAAAGGUUAAUGGCUAGCGAAAGAGCAGCAUUAAGUGAGUUCUUCGAUCUCCAAUGCCUUCCAUUUUUAGUAUCCUUUUAUUCUUUGGCAGAAGAGGUGAAGAAGAUAGUAGCUACCCAAGUUCAAUGCAGGUGAAGGUUGGUCAUGAAAAAGGUUGUGAGUCUACUUUACGAAGACUUGGGGGAAAGGAAUUUGAUAUAGUUCAUGAAGCAGCUCAAAUAAAAGUAAUACACAUCAUUCAAUAGAGUAUUAGAGAACUUAAACUACUUUAAUUUGUCAUAUUAUUCAACCUACAAACUAAACUUAUUUAGAAAUCACAUGACCUGAUGUUAAGCUAUAUUAGAAUUCAAAACUGAUCUAACCCAAAUAAAAAAUCAUUUUGGCAUAUACUUGGUUUCAUGAUUACUACAGAUUUACCCAGUAGGAUUGGGAGGGAUACCAUUUGUCAUAAUGUCAGAGCUCAUCAAAAGACGGUCGAGGUCUAGGCCGAGUAUCUGCUGGUGGAAACAAUUGAUUGGUUUUGUUGGGUGUUAAACUUUUAAUAAUAAAUUAUGGGUACUGGAUAAUUUUUGCCACUUUAUUUUUAUUUUUUGUGAAGAUAAGUAGGCAAUCCAUUUCAGUGUUUUAGCUUAAGAUAGCUUUAAAAUGUCCUUGAAUAGUUUCUUGCA